GUAAAUCCGCCCAGGGUUAGUCGGGACCUAAGGCGAGGCCGAAAGGCGUAGUCGAUGGACAGCCGGUUAAUAUUCCGGCACCCUUGUGGAGAUCAAUCCGUUGUGCGGAUCUUGAAGCUAGACCGGGCGGCUAGAAGCGCCCAGGCCCUCGUGGCCGUGGUCUGGUGGACGGGUUCCCAGAAAAGCGACGGUGGCAAAGCAAGGCCCGUACCAAAACUGACACAGGUGGGCGAGGCGAAUAGCCUCAGGCGCUCGAGAUAAUGGUCGUGAAGGAAUUAGGCAAAUUAACUCCGUAAGUUCGCGAUAAGGAGGCCCUUCGGGGCGCAGAGAAAAGGUCCUGGCAACUGUUUAUCAAAAACACAGCACUGUGCGAACUCGCAAGAGGAUGUAUACAGUGUGACGCUUGCCCAAUGCCGGAAUGUCACGGAACCGGGUCAGCUUCGGCGAAGCUCGGAACCCAAGCACCGGUCAAUGGCGGCCGUAACUAUGACGGUCCUAAGGUAGCGAAAUUCCUUGUCGGGU
rnacentral:rRNA from 1 species